UGGGGGAUAUUGCACAAUGGGCGAAAGCCUGAUGCAGCGACGCCGCGUGGGGGAUGAAGGCCUUCGGGUUGUAAACUUCUUUUGCUCUGAACAAGGCAUGCUAAUGGGUGUGUUGAGUGUAGGGGUUGAUUAGCGCCGGCUAACUACGUGCCAGCAGCCGCGGUAAUACGUAGGGCGCGAGCGUUGUCCGGAAUUAUUGGGCGUAAAGGGCUUGUAGGUGGCUGGUUGCGUCUGUCGUGAAAGCUCAUGGCUUAACUGUGGGUUUGCGGUGGGUACGGGCUGGCUUGAGUGCAGUAGGGGAGGCUGGAAUUCCUGGUGUAGCGGUGGAAUGCGCAGAUAUCAGGAGGAAUACCGGUGGCGAAGGCGGGUCUCUGGACUGUUACUGACACUGAGGAGCGAAAGCAUGGGGAGCGAACAGG
rnacentral:rRNA from 1 species